AGGCUGUUAGGAAUGGUGGGAGUUGGAGUCCAAAACACCUGGAGGGCCAAGCUAGCCGUGCCUGCCCAAGUCUGUGUUUUUGCAGGCUAAGGACAAUCAAAUACAAAGCUUCCAAGAUAUCUUUCUAUAUUUUUUUAUUUCAGAGCCGCAGAUCUAUUUUUCUUUGUGUGUCUUCUGCACGUUUGUUUGUUAUCACGGGUGUAGUAUAAAAUAUUAAUACAAAGGAAAGUGUCAUUUUAACCAGUUAACAUUUGAAUUCUUGUGAAAAUUACCACUAGUUCAUUUGUUCCUAGGCAAAGAAUAUGGAUCAGAUGCUUUGGUUAUAUGGCACAGUUGGCGAAUUCGGGAUCCUUGUUGCCUCCUUGCUGCGCUGCGGCGAAAUCCAAACAGUCUCAGGCGAAGAAAUGCUUCUUCUAUAUUGCUGAGCUUGGAACUUGUGGAGCGGGGCCUCUUCUUCGGCUGGACGGAUGGCCUGUGCCCUGGGGAUACUGAUGUGCCCCUCAGCUCUGCUUCCCACUCUUGGAUCAUUUGGGGACCGGAUGGGAAAUGCUUCAUAGCCGACAUUAACCUGAUGCCCAGUCCUAGCAACAGAAUACCAAGAACAGAUGUUGACAGCUGGAGGACUGCAGGCGCCGCGUUACACGUAUGUACAUCCCGCUCUCUGGAGCCUUUUGAAGCUUAGAUCAAGGCUGCCAGUUUCAGUAUAAAUGUGGGAAAUAGGCACGAGACCCAUUGGGCAGGAGAGAAUCUUGAAUCGAUGUGGAUGAUUGAUAUUCAGGCUCCCCCAUUGGCAAGCAGAUUCCCUCCCGGCUGUUGGGCAAGUGUCUCAGGAGUCUCCCUUUCUGCUGUGUUUUGCCUCUGGAGCCUGCCAUUCCGUGGGCCGCUCUGACAUCAACAUCUGUCCAACCUUCUUGGUGUGUGACAUUGGCCUUCCCAGGCUGGGCUAGGUUUUGUGAAAGGCUGUGUCAGUACCGGACAGCUUGCCCUCCAUUUUGCAGAUAGAGUGUGUAUGUGCAUGUGUAUAGGAGGGAAGACCAGGCCUGUUGUGACUCCAAAACUGGCUGUUUACUCCAGGCUCUCUGCUCUUUUUGCCUUGAAAGGCCAGGCCAGUGACCUGUGCGUAAGGGUCUGCCAACACUGCGCUUGGGCUCCCUUUGGCAGUUGCACCCCCAAGGAGUAUUGCCAGCCUGCUUCCUUCUCUCUACAAAGGCUGCUGCCAUUAUUCGCUGAGCAGGAUGGAUAUCAAAGCAGCUAGGGCCCCUGCUCUGGGCUGAGAAAGCCUCGGCCCUGAAGCCCACCGCACUAGCCUCACAAUGUGUGCCUGAGCAGGUCCUGAGGGGCAGGGGAGCGGUAGAGAAGCAUAUGGAUGGGGCCAUUGGUGGACCAGGCUGAAAGGAAGAGGUCCACCGCAAGUGCCCCCGGCAGGCUCAGUCUGUCUCUCAGAAAAAAAGAGAGGAGAGGCACUCCAGGGAACAACCCUGUGCUCAUCUCGACGCUGAAGCCAGAACAUCCAAAUGUUAAACAAGCCUUCUUCCUGUGAGUGUAUUUUGCUGUACAGAGCUAUCCUGGACAUCUGUUUCCAUUUGGAUUACCUUUAGAGGUUUGUGUUGUUUGGAAAGUUGCUCUGAAGCUUGCAUUUCCCGGUGAGACUAAGGUUGAAGGUCUUUUUUGUGGCAUCCUGACUUUGCUCUUCAGAUUCUUCAGGAAGACUAAAAUUCAGAGCUUUGUGCUUAUUUUAGCAUAUAUGAAGCCACUCCCGGCAGUAGGCAUGAGCUGUUAUACUUUUUUUCCAUGUCAGGAGCAACUUGAGAAACUGCAAGUCACUUCUGGUGUGAGAAGCUCCCUGGAUUUGAACUGCCAACCUGUCGGUCAGCAGUCCUGUCAACACAAGGGUUUAACCCAUUGUGCCACGGGAGGGGCGGGGGUGCUCCUUGCAAUUCCUCAUCCUUAUUCUUCUGUUUGUUAGCUGAACUGUCUCUACUUCCCUUUUUACUGUGAUAAUUACCAAACGUUCCAGCUUGGGAACAGCUGGAUUGUCCAGCAGCAGGCAAACUAAUCUCAGCCAUCUCCUUGAGCUCAUCAAGCACCAGAAUUUCAGGAUAUUUUCGAACAGGAUAAACAUGGGGCUUUGUGAAUUGCUAGUUACUCCCUAUACCAAGCAAAGAGAUUUCCUUUCCAUCAUUCCUUUGCCCAGUCCUGCCAGCAUGCAGAUCUCAACUGUUACAUUAGUUUAACAAAGACUUUAAACCAGACAUGGACAAACUUCGGCCCUCCAGGUGUUUUGGACUCCAAUUCCCACCAUUCCUAACAACAUCAGGCCCCUUCCUUUCCCUCCUCAGCCGCUUAAGCAGCUGAGGGGGAAAACAAAAGGGCCUGAGGCUGUUAGAAAUGGUGGGAUUUGGGGGGGGGGGUCCAAAACAUCUGGAGGGCCAAAGUUUGGUCAUGCCUGCUUUAAACAAACAGUCAAAUCCUGAGUGCAUUUUUAAAAAAUCAUAAUCGCCAUUGCAUAUGCUACAGCCAUCAUCCUAAGAAAAACAACAAUUUCAGCUAUAGCCACAGAGGGGGAAUUCAUGGCAUGCCAAGAGCAGAGAAGGGAAAUAUGCCCUUUUUUCAGUGGUUCGUACUUGAAAUAUGCCUUUUGGCAAAAGACAAAGGGGACUUGCAAGGAGCUGGAUGAAGAAGGACCAACACAAAUAGGGCAAGCGCUCUGGAGGUUUAUUCGCAAAGUGACAUCCUGUCCCAAGGUUUCAAAGGCCAGCACCGACUUUUUGUAUGCUGCCUUGAAAUUGUCCGAGUUAAUAUCCCCAUGGCUGAAAUCUGUGAUAACCAUGGCUGCAUGAUGAACAGCAGUAAAGGCCUCCCCAUUAGUUGAUACCGAAAAGAAAAGGAAGCGGUGCAGUGUCCCUGCUGAGUUUGGCAACGGAAGGGAGGAGCUGUAGGUACGUACGUAGCAGACGGGAUACGCUCAGCCUAAACAAUGUUUUUUACUCCAGAAGAGGGAAAACACUCUUAAUUUUCUCUUGUUAAGCCAGUUGUAGAGUCAAAUGCAAAUUCUUCCUGUUUACCAGUGUGUCCUAUGUAGUAUAGUGUUUUGAACCAGUUACUUUGACAAGGAAUGCAUUUUUCUAAUUUCUUUGUUCUGGUUGGCAAUUGUAAAAAAUUUCUUACCCCAAAUCAGGCAUUUGUAAGCGUAUAUCUAAUAAAUUUAUAUUUGUAAAUACAA